GGGGUGGAGCCCUGAGGAUCAGUGAGGAGCGGGGCCCCCAGGCAAGCUGGCUUUGACCGAGCAGGGCUCACCUGCAGCCCACAGAGCCCUCCUGGCUGCGUGUGGGAGCUGUGGGUCUCAACGUCCGUCCCCCUACUGACUUCCCAGGACCUUCCCUCCGGUUUCAAGCUGGCUUCCUGCCUGGAGUCGAGAGCUGAGGUCUCCAGGUGCCAGGCCUCAUCCGACUAUUUCUGGCCAGCCCCUUCCCACUGGCUCUCCUGGAACCCUGUCACCCAACACAUCCUGACAUGUCCUCGGUCUCCAUUUCCACGGCGACAGUGGAGAAGCGCACAUGGGAGGUUCCACAGAAUGCCCCACAGUCACUUUCCUUGCAACUUGGAGCUGGGACACGUAGAUUUACGGCCACAGACUCACUCCGAAAUACUCGUCUGCCAAAGAAACAUCUUCCGUUGAGGAGACCUUCUCACAGUUGUGAAGUUCACUUGUUUUCAAAAUCGACACAGACUUGCACGCCACAGCCAAAAGGAAAGGGACAGAGCCUGGGGAGUCAGGACGGCCUGGCGGAGGCAGGAGGAUGCCUGGGGCCUGGACUUGUGCCCUGUCCACAAUGUCUCUUGGCGCUGGAGCAGCUCGGGCUGUCCCUCAGUGUCCCGCCCUCGGCCUCCCCCCAAGGACUCAUAAAUGAGAAGAACGCCAUCCACGUAGAGGAAGUGUGCCUUGGUCAGCUUGAUGUGGAAUAUCAUAUUCAUAAGACAGAUGGAAGGAUGCGAGGUAAUAAAAUAUCCAGACAGCUGGACAGAGAAACGCUGGAGGUAAAGAUGAC
rnacentral:lncRNA from 1 species